rnacentral:rRNA from 1 species
CUGGCGGCGUGCCUAAUACAUGCAAGUCGAACGCACUCUCGUUUAGAUUGAAGGAGCUUGCUCCUGAUUGAUAACAUUUGAGUGAGUGGCGGACGGGUGAGUAACACGUGGGUAACCUGCCUAAAGUGGGGAUAACAUUUGGAAACAGAUGCUAAUACCGCAUAAAACCUAACACCGCAUGGUGUAGGUUGAAAGAUGGUUUCGGCUAUCACUUUAGGAUGGACCCGCGGUGCAUUAGUUAGUUGGUGAGGUAAAGGCUCACCAAGACCGUGAUGCAUAGCCGACCUGAGAGGGUAAUCGGCCACACUGGGACUGAGACACGGCCCAGACUCCUACGGGAGGCAGCAGUAGGGAAUCUUCCACAAUGGACGAAAGUCUGAUGGAGCAACGCCGCGUGAGUGAAGAAGGUUUUCGGAUCGUAAAACUCUGUUGUUGGAGAAGAAUGUAUCUGAUAGUAACUGAUCAGGUAGUGACGGUAUCCAACCAGAAAGCCACGGCUAACUACGUG